rnacentral:rRNA from 1 species
AUUGAACGCUGGCGGCAGGCCUAACACAUGCAAGUCGAGCGAGCGGCGGACGGGUGAGUAAUGUAUGGGGACUGCCCGAUAGAGGGGGAUAAAUACUGGAAACGGUAGCUAAUACCGCAUACUAUCGGAUAACCCAUAGGGGAUUAGCUAGUAGGUGAGGUAAUGGGUCACCUAGGCGGCGAUCCCUAGCUGGUCGGAGAGGAUGAUCAGCGACACUGGGAAUGUGACACGUCCCAGACUCCUACGGAGGCAGCAGGGUGGAAUAUUGGACAAUGGGCGCAAGCCUGAUGCAGCCAGGCCGCGUGUAUGAAGAAGGCCCUAGGGUUGUAAAGUACUUUCAGUCGGGAGGCGUUACCGACAGAAGAAGCACCGGCUAACUCCGUGCCAGCAGCCGCGGUAAUUC